rnacentral:rRNA from 1 species
UGGGGAAUAUUGCACAAUGGGCGCAAGCCUGAUGCAGCCAUGCCGCGUGUGUGAAGAAGGCCUUCGGGUUGUAAAGCACUUUCAGCGAGGAGGAAGGUGGUGAGCUUAAUACGCUCAUCAAUUGACGUUACUCGCAGAAGAAGCACCGGCUAACUCCGUGCCAGCAGCCGCGGUAAUACGGAGGGUGCAAGCGUUAAUCGGAAUUACUGGGCGUAAAGCGCACGCAGGCGGUUUGUUAAGUCAGAUGUGAAAUCCCCGGGCUCAACCUGGGAACUGCAUUUGAAACUGGCAAGCUAGAGUCUCGUAGAGGGGGGUAGAAUUCCAGGUGUAGCGGUGAAAUGCGUAGAGAUCUGGAGGAAUACCGGUGGCGAAGGCGGCCCCCCUGGACGAAGACUGACGCUCAGGUGCGAAAGCGUGGGGAGCAAAACAGGAUUAGAUACCCUGGUAGUCCACGCUGUAAAACGAUGUCGAUUUGGAGGUUGUGCCCUUGAGGCGUGGCUUCCGGAGCUAACGCGUUAAAUCGACCGCCUGGGGAGUACGGCCGCAAGGUUAAAAACUU